rnacentral:lncRNA from 1 species
AUAUAUAUUAUAAGAUCAAUAAUAACACACAUAAAUAUUCCAAAUUAAAGAGUUUUGAGCUGUGAUGAUUAGUAUUACUUAUAUACCUUGAGGAGUCUCUUUUAAUCUAGAUGCAAAGUGCACAAAUCAUAGGAAAAUCUACAUCAGAUAUUUUUUCCUUGCAAAUUAAGAUAAGAAGACCAAAUAACUAAAACUCAUCAAUUAAUCAAAUAUGGUUAAUAACUACUCAAAUCUAUAUCCAGAUAUAUAUUAUGUACAAAUACAAAGGUUUAUUCAUGCCUGAUAAGGUGAU